GACGAACGCUGGCGGCAUGCUUAACACAUGCCAGUCGAACGGAAAGGCCCUUCGGGGUACUCGAGUGGCGAACGGGUGAGUAACACGUGGGUGAUCUGCCCUGCACUUUGGGAUAAGCCUGGGAAACCGGGUCUAAUACCGAAUAUGAUCAUCGGCUUCAUGGUCGGUGGUGGAAAGCUUUUGCGGUGUGGGAUGGGCCCGCGGCCUAUCAGUUUGUUGGUGGGGUAAUGGCCUACCAAGGCGACGACGGGUAGCCGGCCUGGGAGGGUGACCGGCCACACUGGGACUGAGAGACGGCCCAGACUCCUACGGGAGGCAGCAGUGGGGAAUAUUGCACAAUGGGCGCAAGCCUGAUGCAGCGACGCCGCGUGAGGGAUGACGGCCUUCGGGUUGUAAACCUCUUUCAGCACAGACGAAGCGCAAGUGACGGUAUGUGCAGAAGAAGGACCGGCCAACUACGUG
rnacentral:rRNA from 1 species